rnacentral:rRNA from 1 species
UGAAUACGAGACGCUAAGGCGUCGAAGUAGUGUAUGUCAUACUUCCAAGAAAAGCUUGCACUGUCAUAGAUAAAAAACGCCUGUACCAUAACCGACACAGGUGGGUAGGUAGAGUAUACUAAGGGGCGCGAGAUAACUCUCUCUAAGGAACUCGGCAAAAUAACUCCGUAACUUCGGGAGAAGGAGUGCCUUAUUCGUAAGGUUGCAAUAACAAGAUCCAAGCAACUGUUUAUCAAAAACACAGGUCUCCGCUAAGUCGUAAGACGAUAUAUGGGGGCUGACGCCUGCCCAGUGCCAGAAGGUUAAAGAAGUUGGUUAGCAAUUGCGAAGCUGAUAACUGAAGCCCUGGUGAACGGCGGCCGUAACGAUAACGGUCCUAAGGUAGCGAAAUUCCUUGUCGGGUAAGUUCCGACCCGCACGAAAGGCGUAAUGAUUUGGAUACUGUCUCGGAGAGGGGCUCGGUGAAAUAGACUUGUCUGUGAAGAUGCGGACUACCUGCACCAGGACAGAAAGACCCUAUGAAGCUUUACUGUAACUUGAAAUUGAAAUUGGACUUUAUUCGCGCAGUAUAGGUGGGAGGCGUUGAUUAUAAUCUUGUGGGAUUAUUGGAGCCAUCAGUGAGAUACCACUCUUGUAAUGUUAGAUUUCUAACUUUGAAUCAUUAUCUGGUCAAAGAACAGUUUCAGGCGGGCAGUUUGACUGGGGCGGUCGCCUCCUAAACGGUAACGGAGGCGUACAAAGGUUUCCUCUGAACGGUUAGAAAUCGUAUCUAGAGUGUAAAGGCAUAAGGAAGCUUGACUGUGAGACCUACAAGUCGAGCAGGGACGAAAGUCGGUCUUAGUGAUCUGACGGUACUGAGUGGAAAGGCCGUCACUCAACGGAUAAAAGUUACUCUAGGAUAACAGGCUGAUCUCCCCCAAGAGUUCACAUCGACGGGGAGGUUUGGCACCUCGAUGUCGGCUCAUCGCAUCCUGGGGCGGUAGUACGUCCCAAGGGUUGGGCUGUUCGCCCAUGAAAGCGGUACGCGAGCUGGGUUCAGAACGUCGUGAGACAGUUCGGUCCAUAUCCGGUGUAGGCGUUAGAAUAUUGAGAGGAGCCUUCUUUAGUACGAGAGGACCGAGAAGGACAUACCUCUGGUGUACCAGUUAUCGUGCCAACGGUAAACGCUGGGUAGCUAUGUAUGGAGUGGAUAACCGCUGAAAGCAUCUAAGUGGGAAGCCCACCUCAAGAUAAGUAUUCUCAUC